GACAUGUGUACACAGUGUUUCGUCGCUCCGCAUAAUUACAGAUUUCUAAGAAUUCCAAGAGCUACAAACAGAGCGUCGAUAUACCAGUUUAUACAUCUCUUCGUUACUAAGUCUACAGAUCCUGAACUACGUGUGAUGUCAACAAAGCCAAACUUUUCUUUGACUAUGACAAUUACUGGAUUAUUCUUGCUUUGUACAUCGACGAGUGAACAUAGAAAUUCUCACAGGAUGUUUUUCCUCCGAGUAUCA